AUACGUAGGUGGCAAGCGUUGUCCGGAGUUUAUUGGGCGUAAAGCGAGUGCAGGCGGUCUUUUAAGUCUGAUGUGAAAGCCUUCGGCUUAACCGAAGAAGGGGCAUCGGAAACUGGGAGACUUGAGUGCAGAAGAGGACAGUGGAACUCCAUGUGUAGCGGUGAAAUGCGUAGAUAUAUGGAAGAACACCAGUGGCGAAGGCGGCUGUCUGGUCUGUAACUGACGCUGAGGCUCGAAAGUAU
rnacentral:rRNA from 1 species